rnacentral:rRNA from 1 species
UUACACCUGAAAGAUAUCUGCUCAACCCAGAUCGUCUUGAUGCCAAACUCUAGCCCAGCCGACAUUGACCUGGAAUAACAAAGUCACUCCUCACCCUAAACCAAAGCAUUUACUAGUCCCAGUAUAGGCGAUAGAAAAGACACCACAUGGCGCGAUAGAGACCACGUACCGUAAGGGAAAGAUGAAAUAGUAGUGAAAUAAUCUAAGCUAAAAACAGCRAAGAUCAACCCUUGUACCUUUUGCAUAAUGGUCUAGCAAGAAAAACCAAGCAAAAUGAAUUUAAGUUUGCCACCCCGAAACCCAAGCGAGCUACUUGCGAGCAGCUAACAUGAGCGAACCCGUCUCUGUUGCAAAAGAGUGGGACGACUCGCUAGUAGAGGUGAAAAGCCAAUCGAGCUGGGUGAUAGCUGGUUGCCUGUGAAACGAAUCUCAGUUCACUCUUAAUUCUUCUCCAAGGAAACCCACAAACCCUAAUGAAGCGAAUUAAGGGCUAUUUAAAGGAGGUACAGCUCCUUUAAAAAAGAAUACAAUCUCCACGAGCGGAUAAGUACCCCCCC